UGAGACCUUAUUGUGAAUGUAGUGUAUGGUGUGUAUGCUGAUCCUUUGCUGUGCAAGAAAGGAAGAAUAAUCUAUGAAAUUAAGUUGGUGCUAAAUUAGUAUGCCAACACACUUAAAAGGGCAGCUAUAAAAGAAUUUCUGCAAGAACUUUUGACUAGACAGAUGUAAAUCCUUAUAAUUGUCUAUGAACACAUAAAACAGAGAAGGAGGUCUUCUUUGUUCUGAUUUUUAAAUUUCAACCUAAAGUAGUAGUAUCAGGUAAUUUUUGAAAAGCAUUAUGGUGAUCUAAUUUUUAAAUUUCAACCUGAAGUAGUAAUAUUUGAUAAAUUUGAAAAGCAUUAUGGAAUUGUACUAAGGUAGGUUGAGCAUGUUCUAGCACUGUUAUCACCUAUCUGUAGGGAUGGUGUUUAAAUUCCUUUUUCAAAUAGGCAUUUUAUUGAUGUAAAUUUUGAGUCUUUUGUCUUUAUUGACACAUUGAAAAAAAUCAUGAUUAGAGGUAUAGUAUAUGAUAUUGAGAAAGCAAAACUUGCUUUCUAUAUGGCAGUUCAUUUUUGAUGUAGGCUCAUGAUAUAAUAAUGUAUACAGUUCUUUAGAAAAGUAUGUAUUAUUUGUAUUCUUGAAUGGAUCUACUGUCCCUGACUUAGGAUGGUUCAGCUGAAAAUUUUUCUACUUUAGAAUGGUGCAAAAGAGCUUG
rnacentral:lncRNA from 1 species